UACGAAGUAGUGUAUGUUGCAUAUGGGCUUUUGGAGCUUAAGGGGGGAAUGUGAGUUUCUUUUUCGUA
rnacentral:tRNA from 1 species